AUUUAAGUAGUUUAAUAAAAAUAUUGAUUUGUGGGGUCAAAGUUAUAGAAUUUAUCUUAAAUA
rnacentral:tRNA from 1 species